GACCCUAUAGAAUUUUAUAUUUUUAUUUGAGGGGGUAUUAGUAUUUAAAACUCCUUGAAAACAAAAUAUUUAGUUGGGGUGAUUGAAAAAUUAAUAAAACUUUUUUUUAAUUCAUACAUAGAUAAGUGAGUACAUGAUCCUAUUUUUAGAUUAUAAGAUGAAAUUACCUUAGGGAUAACAGCGUAAUAUUUUUUAAGAGUUCUAAUCGAUGUUGGAUUAAAAUUAAGUUUUGGUGUAGAAGCUAAAUGAUUAGGUCUGUUCGACCUUUAAAAUUUUACAUGAUCUGA
rnacentral:rRNA from 1 species